AUUGAACGCUGGCGGCAGGCCUAACACAUGCAAGUCGAGCGGCAGCGACUUAACUGAACCUUCGGGGAAUGUUAAGGGCGGCGAGCGGCGGACGGGUGAGUAAUGCCUGGGAAUAUGCCCUGAUGUGGGGGAUAACUAUUGGAAACGAUAGCUAAUACCGCAUAAUCUCUUCGGAGCAAAGAGGGGGACCUUCGGGCCUCUCGCGUCAGGAUUAGCCCAGGUGGGAUUAGCUUGUUGGUGAGGUAAUGGCUCACCAAGGCAACGAUCCCUAGCUGGUCUGAGAGGAUGAUCAGCCACACUGGAACUGAGACACGGUCCAGACUCCUACGGGAGGCAGCAGUGGGGAAUAUUGCACAAUGGGGGAAACCCUGAUGCAGCCAUGCCGCGUGUGUGAAGAAGGCCUUCGGGUUGUAAAGCACUUUCAGUAGGGAGGAAGGUAGUGUAGUUAACACCUGCAUUAUUUGACGUUACCUACAGAAGAAGCACCGGCUAACUCCGUGCCAGCAGCCGCGGUAAUACGGAGGGUGCGAGCGUUAAUCGGAAUUACUGGGCGUAAAGCGCAUGCAGGCGGCCUGUUAAGUCAGAUGUGAAAGCCCGGGGCUUAACCUCGGAAUUGCAUUUGAAACUGGCAGGCUAGAGUCUUGUAGAGGGGGGUAGAAUUUCAGGUGUAGCGGUGAAAUGCGUAGAGAUCUGAAGGAAUACCAGUGGCGAAGGCGGCCCCCUGGACAAAGACUGACGCUCAGAUGCGAAAGCGUGGGGAGCAAACAGG
rnacentral:rRNA from 1 species